rnacentral:other from 1 species
UCAGCACCUCGCUAGGCGAGGCUCCUGUUCGAACACAGGCCACUGAUCCGACGACGUCGAGAGACGCCCAGGGUUAGU